rnacentral:rRNA from 1 species
GGGGAAGGGGUAAACUAUAUAUACGGACUGGACGUAUCGAUUGGCACUCUGACUUUUGUUCUUCCCUAACAUCAGAACUUUAAUACCCGAAGCCUUCUUCGUUCGGUGGCGUACUCCGUCAAACUUUCGCCCAUUGCGGAAGAUUCCUUACCGCUGCCUCCCGUAGAUUCUGGACGGUGUCUCAGUCCCAGUGUGGCCGAUCACCCUCUCAAUCGUCUACGCAUCGUCGCCUUGUUGAGCCAUUACCUCAGCAACUAGCUAAUGCACCGCGUGACCGUCUAUAAGUGACAGCAGAAACCGCCCUUCCCCUUCUCUGACGCGAGAAGAGAACUUUCCGGGAUUAACUCAAUGUUUCCCGAAGUUAUCCAGGCUUAUAACAGGCCCCCCUGAGGGUUCCCUCGACUUGAUGAAUUAGAAACCCCGGCAGAUUCGUCCCGACCGCGCGAAAAAUAUAGGUUCUCCGCUUUCUCAGAUAUAUCAAUGGAACAGCGCUGGGCGGG